UGCGUAGGCGGAAUAUUAAGUCAGUGGUGAAAUCCUGCGGCUCAACCGUAGAACUGCCAUUGAUACUGAUAUUCUUGAAUGUAGUUGAGGUAGGCGGAAUGUGUAAUGUAGCGGUGAAAUGCUUAGAUAUUACACAGAACGCCGAUUGCGAAGGCAGCUUACUAAACUAUGAUUGACGCUGAGGCACGAAAGCGUGGGGAGCGAACAGGAUUAGAUACCCUAGUAGUCC
rnacentral:rRNA from 1 species